rnacentral:lncRNA from 1 species
GGGUGAGUCACUAACAGUGGAGUGACUAAAGAAAAUAGUCAGCAAUGGCUGGCUAGGAGGAGGAGCUGCUACAGAGUGGAGAAGGCUGUGGCAUCAGCCAGAUCAGAAUUUGCUGUGUCACUCUUGAAUUGCAUUGCCCAGACACAGAGUUAAGAGUGUCUCAUGAUGAUAACAACAAGGGUGAAGGAGAAUUCCUCCAAGAUGGACAAAUGCAGAUUGGAAAACUAAUGUCAUGGCUUACAAGCACCUAGCAUUUCAGACAGCUCCUGGAAAAGGAGUCUGGGUUGCCAGAUCUGUGAAGUCAAGCCUGAAG